rnacentral:rRNA from 1 species
AUGUCGACGGCUGCAGCCACCGCCGCCCUGACCUCCUCCACCUUCGCGCGGCGGCCUCGCGCCCCGCGGGGCGGCAGGCGGACGGUGCGGCCGCGCGGGUGCGCGUUCCACCCGGAGGUGGCCCGGGCGGUGGAGUCGCUGCAGGCGGAGUUCCGGGAGGUGGACCGCGCCCUCGCCCUCAACUCCUCCCGCGUCUCCACCGCCUUCCGCGCCGCCCGCGUCGCCCCCCACCACUUCGGUGGGUCGACCGGGUACGGCCACGACGACGCCGGCGGCAGGGAGGCGCUCGACGCCGUCUUCGCCAACGUCGUAGGCGCCGAGGCCGCCAUCGUGCGCCCCCAGUUCUUCUCUGGCACGCACGCCAUCGCCUGCGCUCUGUUUGCGCUGCUGCGGCCUGGGCUCGAGCUCUUGGCAGUUGCCGGGCCUCCGUAUGACACAUUGGAGGAGGUCAUUGGAAUCAGAGGUUCGGCCAAUGUAGGAUCGCUCAAGGACUUUGGAGUUACCUACCGAGAAGUUCCGCUCGCAGCAGAUGGUGGCCUUGACUGGGACGCGCUUGCACAUGCCGUCGGACCGGAGACCGGGUGCGCGCUCAUACAGAGGUCCUGUGGUUACUCGUGGCGCAAGAGCCUGGGCGUAGCUGAUAUCCGUAGAGCUAUCGAUUUGAUCAAGAUGCAAAAUCCAAACUGCAAGGUCAUGGUGGACAACUGCUAUGGUGAAUUUGUUGAGACGUCAGAGCCUCCAAUGGUGGGAGCAGAUCUGAUUGCCGGUAGCCUGAUAAAGAACCCCGGCGGUACCAUUGCGCCUUGCGGUGGCUAUGUUGCUGGGAAGAAAGAUUUGGUUGCUGCAGCUGCAGCUCGCCUAUCCGCACCGGGCCUUGGGGUGGAGUUUGGGUCAGCACCUGGACAUGUUAUGCGUGCAAUGUUUCAGGGCUUGUUUCUUGCUCCGCAGAUGGUUGGAGAGGCAGUAAAAGGUGGUUUGCUAAUUGCAGAAGUCAUGUCAGCCAAGGGCUAUAGAGUUCAACCACUUCCAAGGGCGCCACGCCAUGAUAUUGUGCAGGCAGUAGAGCUUGGCAACAGGGAGAGACUCAUAGCAUUCUGUGAAGUUGUUCAACAAACUUGUCCAGUUGGAUCGUUUAUUAAGCCAACCGCUGGGGAAACUCCUGGUUAUGCUUCAGAGGUCAUUUUUGCUGAUGGGACCUUCAUGGAUGGAAGCACAAGCGAGCUAUCAUGUGACGGGCCCUUAAGAGAUCCAUACGCUGUCUUCUGUCAGGGAGGAACGCAUUGGACACAGUGGGCUCUUGUCCUGGGUGAAGUUCUCAAGAUCAUAUAG